UACGAAGGGGGCUAGCGUUGCUCGGAAUUACUGGGCGUAAAGCGCACGUAGGCGGCUUUCUAAGUCGGGGGUGAAAUCCUGGAGCUCAACUCCAGAACUGCCUUCGAUACUGGAGAGCUUGAGUCCGGGAGAGGUGAGUGGAACUGCGAGUGUAGAGGUGAAAUUCGUAGAUAUUCGCAAGAACACCAGUGGCGAAGGCGGCUCACUGGCCCGGUACUGACGCUGAGGUGCGAAAGCGUGGGGGGCAAACAGG
rnacentral:rRNA from 1 species